rnacentral:rRNA from 1 species
UGGGGAAUAUUGGACAAUGGGCGAAAGCCUGAUCCAGCCAUGCCGCGUGUGUGAAGAAGGUUUUCGGAUUGUAAAGCACUUUAAGUUGGGAGGAAGGGCAGUAAGCGAAUACCUUGCUGUUUUGACGUUACCGACAGAAUAAGCACCGGCUAACUCUGUGCCAGCAGCCGCGGUAAUACAGAGGGUGCAAGCGUUAAUCGGAAUUACUGGGCGUAAAGCGCGCGUAGGUGGUUCGUGAAAUUGAAUGUGAAAGCCCCGGGCUCGACCUGAGAACUGCAUACAAAACUAGCGGACUAGAGUAGGGCAGAGGGUGGUGGAAAUUCCUGUGUGACGGUGAAAUGCGUAAAUAUAGAAAGGAACACCAGUGGCGAAGACGACCACCUUGGCUCAUACUGACACUGAGAUGCGAAAGCGUGAGGGGCAAACAGG